AAAAAGUUUUACUCUUGCUUAUUUAUUUAUUUUAAUCUAAUUUUAUAUAUAUAUUAUUGUUGAUAAUUAUUUAUCUUGAUGAUUAUAAUUAUGUGGAUGUAGUAUUAAGUAUUAAUAAUUAAGGAGAUUUUGAGUUAGUUAAUUUUAUUAAGUAUUGAUUAAUUAUGUGCCAGCAAUCGCGGUUAUACAUAUAUUAUGAAUAAAUAUAAUUAGUUGGUUAGUUAAAUUGUAAUCUUUCAAUAGAUAUUUUGUUGAUUUUUAGGUGAAAUUAGGAAUUUAUGAUUAAGAUUGAUUUUGAUUAAUUGAAGCUGUAAAAUUUAUGGGAUAAACUAGGAUUAGAUACCCUAUUAUUAUAAAUGUAAAUUUAAAGGCUUAAGUAGUAGUAGUUAUGAUCUUGAAACUUAAAGAAUUUGGCGGUAUUUUAGUCUAUUUAGAGGAAUCUGUCCCGUAAUCGAUAGUCCACGUGGAACCUAACUUGAUUAAUAAUGUAUGUAUACCGCCGUUUAUUGAAUGUUUUUUUAGGAGAAUAUUUUCUUAAAAUUAUUGAUUAAAUUUUAUUUCAGGUCAAGGUGCAGCUAAUAAUUAAGGGGUGAUGGAUUACAAUAUUUUAAGGUAAACGAAUUAUAGUUUGUAACAGUUAUAUAAAGGUGGAUUUAAUAGUAAUUUUUUGUAGAUUGUAGAUGUGAUUUAAGCUCUAGAAUGUGUACACAUCGCCCGUCGCUCUCAUUAAAUUUAAAAGUGAGAUAAGUCGUAACAUAGUAGGUGUACCGGAAGGUGUAGCUAGAUUGAU
rnacentral:ncRNA from 1 species